rnacentral:rRNA from 1 species
GAUGAACGCUGGCGGCGCGCCUAACACAUGCAAGUCGAACGGCACCUAUCUUCGGAUAGAAGCGAGUGGCGAACGGCUGAGUAACACGUGGAGAACCUGCCCCCUCCCCCGGGAUAGCCGCCCGAAAGGACGGGUAAUACCGGAUACCCCCGCGAGCCGCAUGGCCCCCGGGCUAAAGCCCCGACGGGAGGGGAUGGCUCCGCGGCCCAUCAGGUAGACGGCGGGGGGACGGCCCACCGUGCCGACAACGGGUAGCCGGGUUGAGAGACCGACCGGCCAGAUUGGGACUGAGACACGGCCCAGACUCCUACGGGAGGCAGCAGUGGGGAAUCUUGCGCAAUGGGGGGAACCCUGACGCAGCGACGCCGCGUGCGGGACGGAGGCCUUCGGGUCGUAAACCGCUUUCAGCAGGGAAGAGUCAAGACUGUACCUGCAGAAGAAGCCCCGGCUAACUACGUGCCAGCCGCCGCAGUAA